CCAGCAACUAUGUUUGAAGAAGCACUAUGUUCACAGAAAAGAAGGGAUGUCUACGGGGUCUGGGCAGAAAGGAUGCUAAGGAGAGAGACUGGGCCACUCUUACUCAGAAGUUCAGAGAUGUGUGCUGGAGUUUGCUGGGGGUCCUCACCAGACCCUGUUUGCCUGGGAAUCACCAGCAGAGGCUGCAGAACAGCAAAGAUUUCUGCCUGCUCCUUCCUCUGGAGCUUCGUCCCAGAGGAUCAUUAGCCACAUGCCAGCCAGAUUUCUCCUGUACGAG
rnacentral:lncRNA from 10 species